rnacentral:rRNA from 1 species
UGGGGAAUAUUGGGCAAUGGGCGCAAGCCUGACCCAGCCAUGCCGCGUGAGUGAUGAAGGCCUUCGGGUCGUAAAGCUCUGUGUGGAGGGAAGAAACCGGACGUGGAUAACACCCACGGCUCUUGACGGUACCUCCUUAGCAAGCACCGGCUAACUCCGUGCCAGCAGCCGCGGUAAUACGGAGGGUGCAAACGUUGCUCGGAAUCAUUGGGCGUAAAGCGCACGUAGGCGGCCUGUUAAGUCGGGUGUGAAAGCCCUGGGCUCAACCCAGGAAGUGCACUCGAAACUGGCGGGCUUGAAUAUGGAAGAGGGUCGCGGAAUUCCCGGUGUAGAGGUGAAAUUCGUAGAUAUCGGGAGGAACACCAGUGGCGAAGGCGGCGACCUGGGCCAAUAUUGACGCUGAGGUGCGAAAAGCGUGGGGAGCAAACA